rnacentral:lncRNA from 1 species
CCUUUUCCAUGCGAGUACAUUGUCAGUUAGCAGCAACAUAUCUUUUGAUAGCAAACUAUAUUUUUUUCUCCUCGAUACUGUUCUGUAACUUUUGUUUUGUUUCAAAUUCGUGUAGUAUGCUUCUGUUAUUGUCGAUCCUUUUUGUAAGUAAUCUAUCAAUUCGACACCUUGCUGCCCCAAAACACAGACAACGUGACCUGGCUGGAUGGCCUUUCCUUGAAUCAUCCUGUAGGCUGAUGCGACCACAUCUGAAUUCCCAUUUCCAUCAUUUCACAAUCUCAUAUGAUUGACAUUCCUCGACAUAUACAAUUGACAUCUCUUCGUGGAUUUUUUGUGCAGUUUCCUUUGAAGAUGAAGGAACCGUAUCAGGGUUCGAUACUAAAUUUUGUUCAGCAUGACAUCAUCAUCUACUAUCAAGCUUUUAACUGCGGUUAAACAGGAUAUGUCAAAAUAAAAAAACAUGGGUAUUAGGAAGACAGUAACUUAUCAUUAUUUACAAUUACAUAUCCAUAACAAACAUACACGAUGAGGGAAGAACAUUUUGGCCUCUCCUCGUAUAGGGUGUACGUCAAAUUCAUGUCGAAUUUGUGGAAAAACACCGAUACAUAAGUUCGUAAUUUAUUAAACAAAUAUAUUUUCCCUAAAUUAUGAAAUAUUUUCACAUAGGAACAUUAUCCACUUCGUUUGCGUUUAGAAGCUAUUACUAUAACAAUCAAGAUUACAAUAUAGCGAUAGUAGGAAGUCUUUUUUUUGGUCAACAGAUGACGCCACUUUCCAUUCAAGUAGAAUACUAAGUGGCGGGGCGAAACAAGCCC